rnacentral:misc_RNA from 1 species
GUCGACAUGCCCGUGCAGCGACGGCCGUUCGUGCGUUCCUCUUCAUAUCUGGGCACAAGCGCGCUCUAGCCUUGGCCGAGAGUUGGAUUUCCUGUGCUGGAUACCUACGAGAAGGAAUUUUCUAGUCGAAUGCCGAGCGAUCGCCUGAUGCCGCCCUCGUUCCGUCGGUCCGUCGGUGGCAGCGGGCGAUCCGCAAAGCGGGAUUCGUGGUCCUCGGCGCACGAGCGCACUCGUGUCGCCGCGGCCCAUGCUUCUUCGCUCGGACUGAGGGAUUCGGAACAUGCUGUUGGCAACGGGCCUCUCGGAGGCCCUCAUUUGUCGCAUCGAUCGAAAACAUCCGAACGACGCUCGGCGGUGCGCCGGCCUAGGGCCGCGCACCUCGGCGUCCGCGAGGAAUGCUACCU